rnacentral:misc_RNA from 1 species
GGGAGCUGAUUCUCUUGACACGGUACUUCAAUGUUUAACCUUACAUUUUAAACCUAACUCUUUGCCCAACACUAUAUGAGUAAUGUUGUAUCAUUGUUCAUCUUAUGUUAUCUACUUCAAUUCAGCAGCAUGAUUUGUUUUCUUUUUAGUGUUUUACAUAGUUAUCAAAAGCUUAAGGCGCACCAAGUGCCAAGGGGACUUGGAGCCUAGGCACAAGGUGCAGGCGUGUGCACACGAGCAAUUUGAGGCGUAAAAUAAAAAAAAUAACAUAAAAAUAAAUUAUAUUAUAAGUGCUACAAAUCUAAUUAAGAUAAUGUUAAUUACAUAUAAAAGUAUAUAUAAUAUAUCAUUUAUUUCAUUACUUAUUUUUAUUUUAUUAGACCACUAUCAUUAUCAAUUAAAUUACAUAUAUGAGUAAGAAUUAUCAUUAAAAUGCAUAAUAUGAAUUUAUUUUUAAUCAAAUAUAAUAUUAUAUUAAAAUUUUAAUGUUUUAUUGUAUUAAAAUUUUAAUUUUACAUUAUAUUUAAUUUAAUAAUAUCUUACUAAAUAUAACUUAAAAAUUUAAAUUGAAUUCUAUAAACUUAUUAAAAAAAAAUUAUAUAUUCAAUAUAAAAAUAAUUUACAUUUAAUAUUUAAUUUAUGAAAAAUAGAAUUAAAUACAUAAAAAAAUUAAUAACUAUAGCUCAUUUAUCAGCCCAUUAGCAUCUUCAAAUCCUGUCACGUUUGCAUGUUACCACUUGGACUGCAGAAAAAAGAAAGAAAAAUGAUGGCUACUUAACAGAUAAAAAAAGAAGAAAAAUAAGCAAAUUGUGAUAGAGGAAGAUGGCGUCUUCAAGAAGCAGAAAUGAUCCCAGCCAGCUCAUGUCUUCAAGAAGCAGCAGAAAAUCAAGAAGAACGAAAGAAAGAAAGAAGAAGAUCAGCU